rnacentral:rRNA from 1 species
GACGAACGCUGGCGGCGUGCUUAACACAUGCAAGUCGAGCGGUAAGGCCCUUUCGGGGUACGACGAGCGGCGAACGGGUGGAGUAACACGUGGGUGGACCUCGCCCUCCAGCUCUGGGAGUAAGCCUCGGGGAAACCGGGGUACGUAAUAACUGGAGUAUGACUCCAUGACGCAUGUUGUGGGGUGGAAAGCCUUGUGCGGCUGAGGAUGGGCCCGGCGGCCUAUCAGCUUGUUGGGGGGGU